rnacentral:lncRNA from 1 species
UAUUUGUAACUUAAAAGAAAAUGUCAAUUAAAUAAAUUUUUGAGAGAAAUUUUUUCCCCUCAAACCUAAUUUUACUCUUGUUCUCUGCUCUGGUGGACUGAUAUCAUCAUUCACUUCCAAGACAAGAGACCUACAAGUAAUUCAAGAUCCUUCCUUCUCUGUAAUCUUCCACCCUUCCACUUAGUCACUAAAUCCAAAUUUUGGCUCAUAAAUAUCCCGACCUUCUUCUAAUUAAUAAGUCCUGUCUAUUCUAGUUCCUAAAUAUCUUUUAAAUCCCUUCCCCUCUUUACCAUCCCUGCGAAUAAGGCUUGUGUUUUGUUUUUUUUUAAUUCAGGACUUCAUCAUCUGUCAAUAAUCACAUAUUUUAUUCACCCAUCCAUUCUCUCUCAUAUAACACUCUCAGAACUAUCUUUCUAAACAAUUAUAGUGUACCACUGCUGGAAAACAAAUGAAAACAUUUUUAAGAGGC